AAAUUGAAGAGUUUGAUCAUGGCUCAGAUUGAACGCUGGCGGCAGGCCUAACACAUGCAAGUCGAGCGGUAGCACAGAGAGCUUGCUCUCGGGUGACGAGCGGCGGACGGGUGAGUAAUGUCUGGGAAACUGCCUGAUGGAGGGGGAUAACUACUGGAAACGGUAGCUAAUACCGCAUAACGUCGCAAGACCA
rnacentral:rRNA from 1 species